rnacentral:tRNA from 1 species
GGCGCGGCGGACGGCGGCGAGGACCUCCUGCUCCAGCUGGGCGCGGCCGCGCGGUUCGAGGCCGCCCGCGUCACC